rnacentral:RNase_P_RNA from 1 species
GCAGUUGGCUGGUCUGUCGCGUGUGUUUCGGCACAGGAGGAAAGUCCGGGCAACACAGAGCAUCCCACUUCCUAACAGAAAGCUGUCCGCGAGGGUAGAGUAACGUAGAAGAAAAUAACCGCCUCUCUUUUUUCGGAAAGACAAGGUAAGGGUGAGAAGGUGGAGUAAGAGCCCACCAGCCGCAUGGUGACGUGUCGGGCUGUACGUCUUGGGAGUUGUAAGGUCAUGUAUACCGGCGUUAUGAGAGUUGCUCGCUCCAUGUCGGAGGGUAGACCGCUAAAGUGGCAUGGUAACAUGUCACUCAGAUAAAUGACAGGCACUUGUUUAAUUAAUAAUUAUAAAUUAAAAAUUAUACAAGGACAGAACUCGGCUUACAGGCCGACUGCUUUU